CGAGGAGGAGCACUGACCUGG
rnacentral:sRNA from 1 species